rnacentral:rRNA from 1 species
UACGUAGGAUGCAAGCGUUGUCCGGAUUUACUGGGCGUAAAGCGCGCGCAGGCGGCAUACCAAGUAUUCAGUGAAAUCUCCCUGCUCAACGGGGAGGGUGCUGAGUAGACUGGUAAGCUAGAGGACGGUAGAGGGGGGUAGAAUUGCUGGUGUAGCGGUGAAAAUGCGUAGAGAUCAGCAGGAAUACCCGUGGCGAAGGCGGCCCCCUGGGCCGUUUCUGACGCUGAGGCGCGAAGGCUAGGGGAGCGAACGGG